GGGUGCGAUCAUACCAGCACUAAUGCCCCGGAUCCCAUCAGAACUCCGCAGUUAAACUGCUUGGGCGAGAGUAGUACUAGGAUGGGUGACCUCCUGGGAAGUUCUCGUGUUGCACCCC
rnacentral:rRNA from 1 species